GACGAACGCUGGCGGCGUGCUUAACACAUGCAAGUCGAACGGUGAAGCGCCUUCCUUUUUGGUGGGUGUGGAUGAGUGGCGAACGGGUGAGUACACGUGAGUAACCUGCCCCCUUCUUCUGGAUAACCGCAUGAAAGUGUGGCUAAUACGGGAUAUUCUGGGUCUGUCGCAUGAUGGGUCUGGGAAAGAUAUUGUUUCGGUGGGGGAUGGGCUCGCGGCCUAUCAGCUUGUUGGUGGGGUGAUGGCCUACCAAGGCGGUGACGGGUAGCCGGCCUGAGAGGGUGGACGGUCACACUGGGACUGAGACACGGCCCAGACUCCUACGGGAGGCAGCAGUGGGGAAUAUUGCACAAUGGGCGCAAGCCUGAUGCAGCGACGCCGCGUGAGGGAUGGAGGCCUUCGGGUUGUGAACCUCUUUCGCCAGUGAAGCAGGCCUGCCUCGUUUGUGGGUGGGUUGACGGUAGCUGGAGAAGAAGCGCCGGCUAACUACGUG
rnacentral:rRNA from 1 species